rnacentral:rRNA from 1 species
ACAGAUAAGGAGCUUGCUCCUUUGACGUUAGCGGCGSMCSGGUGAGUAACACGUGGAUAACCUACCUAUAAGACUGGGAUAWCUUCGGGAAACCGGAGCUAAUACCGGAUAACYUAUUGAACCGCAUGGUUCAAUAGUGAAAGGCGGCUUUGCUGUCACUUAUAGAUGGAUCCGCGCCGUAUUAGCUAGUUGGUAAGGUAACGGCUUACCRAGGCAACGAUACGUAGCCGACCUGAGAGGGUGAUCGGCCACACUGGAACUGAGACACGGUCCAGACUCCUACGGGAGGCAGCAGUAGGGAAUCUUCCGCAAUGGGCGAAAGCCUGACGGAGCAACGCCGCGUGAGUGAUGAAGGUCUUCGGAUCGUAAAACUCUGUUAUCAGGGAAGAACAAAUGUGUAAGUAACUGUGCACAUCUUGACGGUACCUGAUCAGAAAGCCACGGCUAACUACGUGCCAGCAGCCGCGGUAAUACGUAGGUGGCAAGCGUUAUCCGGAAUUAUUGGGCGUAAAGCGCGCGUAGGCGGUUUUUUAAGUCUGAUGUGAAAGCCCACGGCUCAACCGUGGAGGGUCAUUGGAAACUGGAAAACUUGAGUGCAGAAGAGGAAAGUGGAAUUCCAUGUGUAGCGGUGAAAUGCGCAGAGAUAUGGAGGAACACCAGUGGCGAAGGCGACUUUCUGGUCUGUAACUGACGCUGAUGUGCGAAAGCGUGGGGAUCAAACAGGAUUAGAUACCCUGGUAGUCCACGCCGUAAACGAUGAGUGCUAAGUGUUAGGGGGUUUCCGCCCCUUAGUGCUGCAGCUAACGCAUUAAGCACUCCGCCUGGGGAGUACGACCGCAAGGUUGAAACUCAAAGGAAUUGACGGGGACCCGCACAAGC